GGAAAGGGUCCAUAGUACACACAAAAAUGCUCACAGAAAUGUGAUUCUGGAGAUUCUGAAGGACCUGGGCACAUGACAUCUUAAUUUAGAAAACAGUAUCACAUGUGAUCUGAAAAAAGAUUUAUGUGACACAAAUUUAGGCACUUAGAGUAUUUAACCACAGUGCACAGGAGGCAAGGACAAGAACACAAACUCUGGCACUGACUGACUCACUCAUUCAUUCAACCAAGUUCAACCACAUGUUCCCACAAGGUGCCAGACCUUACAGAGUCACUGGUCACUGAGAAUUCAAAGAUGAGAUGAUCACCCAAUCUAGCAAAGGACACAGACAGGCCAUGAGUAAUGGCUUCGUGGAGUUAAAAUAGACAGAGGCAUCUCGGGGCUUAAGGAAGGAAACACCAUCUGUAGUAGGUGAGCAAGGUGUGAAUGAGCAAAAGAGCCAAGUGCUCCAGUGCUUCCGGUACUUCUGGCAGCCGUGGAGUGAAAGUCAACAUUGUGAUCUCAGCAAGUCAAGCAGAGAGGUUUCCACAUUGGCAAGAGGCUGGGUUACCUUCAAGUUCCCAAAGCAUUGCCCGCCAUUUCUCUCCAGAGAACAAUUGAACUGUGAACCUGAAAUUUAUUUGAAGGGGAUUUUCCUCUCUCAAAAUGCAGCCAAACACCCACAAAAAGAGAUCAGCUUUAAUUAAAAGAAGCACAUUGCUCUACUUAGCAAGUGUGUGUGUGUGUGUGUGUGUGUGUGUGUUAUGCACAUGGAGAAUUUCAAUUUCUGAAAAGACCUAGGUAAAAU
rnacentral:lncRNA from 1 species